GUGCCAGCAGCCGCGGUAAAACGUAGGAAGCGAGCGUUAUCCGGAUUUACUGGGCGUAAAGCGUGUGUAGGCGGUUUGACAAGUUGGAUGUGAAAGCUCCUGGCUUAACUGGGAGAGGUCGUUCAAAACUGUCAGACUCGAGAGUGGUAGAGGGAGGUGGAAUUCCGGGUGUAGUGGUGAAAUGCGUAGAUAUCCGGAGGAACACCAGUGGCGAAAGCGGCCUCCUGGCCCAUUUCUGACGCUCAGACACGAAAGCUAAGGUAGCAAACGGGAUUAGAGACCCCGGUAGUCUUAGCUGUAAACGAUGUGAACUUAGUGUCGGUGGGUUUAAAUCCAUCGGUACUGAAGCUAACGCGAUAAGUUCACCGCCUGGGGACUACGGCCGCAAGGUUAAAACUCAAAUGAAUUGACGG
rnacentral:rRNA from 1 species